rnacentral:lncRNA from 1 species
GUCAUUCUACUGGGCCUAUUUAUUUAAUUAUAAAAUGAAGGGAUAGUGUUGAAUUUUAAAACUUCCAGAAGUAUAUUAGUUAAAUUUAUUAAGCUUACAUAAAAAUACAUACACACAUUGGCAAGUCACUUGCUGCUCAUCUUCUGGAUGAAUGUUCUCAAAUUAGGCACUCUUGUAUAGGGUAUGUUAUCAGUAGUGUUAUUCACACCAAGAAUAAUUUUGUGCUUUUUGUUUAAUGAUUUUGUUAAUAUGAUUGUGGCUUUUUUACAAUUUAGUAUUGUCUCCUUUAUUAAAAAUGACUACUAUGAUUGUAAUCAUUAGAAUGAGUGAAAUGAACAUAGAAUUGCUUCUCUUGUACUGAAAGCUUAAAUGUUUUGCAGGGAAGGGAUAUAUCCAUGUUCUCUAAUUUCAUUUGGCUAAGGAAAUUAUCCUUGAUCUUCCAGAGUGAGGACAUGGAAUACUUCCACAGCCACAUACUAUAUUUAAUCAUUGUUUGUUUUGUGGGUUUUAUUAGGCUUUAUAAGCAACGAACAGUGAAUAUGUUCUACCUUAAAAAUGCUUCUUGAUAAAAAUUCUUCUCAGAUUAGUUCCAUAUGUAAUAAACCAUUAUUGCUUCUGUUUUGGAAUCUAGCUAUUUGUAUGUCUUUGCGCACCACCCCAUCCCUGCACACACAUGCACCCUGUUGAGUUUUAGAUUAUAAACUCCUUGAGAAAGGAGACUAAUCUUUCCUUUGUAUCUCAUAGCCCCUAAGACAGAAUACUGUUAGGUCUCUGAAUAUUUGUGAAUUAUGGCUAUUGAGGAUUUUGGAUUAAAAUUAUUGAAUAGAAUGUUAUAAGCCUGUUUCUAGGAUAUCUAACUCAAAGAUAUUAUAGUUUUAUUAAACUCUAGAUUUUUUUUUCUGAAGUCAGUUUCUCUUGAUUCAGUCACAAGCUGAUUAUUCUGACAUUAUAACUGACAUCACCUUGGUGCCAGUUAUACAGUCUGUCAGGGUGUAGUUUGGACAGUUGUGUAUAUACAUUUAUGAAACGGAGAGAGAGUGAAAGGAGGAUCAUGCAUAGAAUACAGAUUUGUGGUGUAGGCAUCAAAUUUACAACUCUAAACUAUCUCAGUCUUGCAGCUUUAUAGUUAUGUGCACUUAAUUUUGGACCUUGUAUAGUUAACAUGCAGAAACUGUUCUUAAUCAGAAGUAAGCAUGAUGCUUUAGGAAGAUAAGGGCAUGCUUUCCUUUGCUUCAACUUAAAUUGUUGAGGGUAAAUAAUAACUGUUGAAAGGUGCCAAUUUAUAGCUAAGCAUUUAGGGCUCAGAGGUAUAUCUUAGCAACAUUUGGAAACAAUGUAAUAUGCCUAAUAUUUGAUACCACACAACUACAUAAUCACAAAAACAUAAUGAUAAAAAUAUCAUGUAUAAUUGGCAAGCUCUACAAAGAGUGGUAGCUGUGAUCAAAAGAAAUAGAGCUUCAGUGCAGAAAAUGAAGUGAGCCAUUUUUGUAUUAUAAUUAGAAAUUGGUAGCCAUAUAUUUUGAAUUCUAAGUACCAAAAAUGUUUUCAGGCAGGGCAUCUUUCAUUAGUAAUUUUUAACUUCUUUUAUGAUAU